rnacentral:rRNA from 1 species
GACGUAGGGCGCGAGCGUUGUCCGGAUUUAUUGGGCGUAAAGAGCUCGUAGGCGGUUUGUCGCGUCGUUCGUGAAAACUCACAGCUUAACUGUGAGCUUGCGGUCGAUACGGGCAGGCUAGAGUUCGGUAGGGGAGACUGGAAUUCCUGGUGUAGCGGUGAAAUGCGCAGAUAUCGGGAGGAACACCUGUGGCGAAAGCGGCUCACUGGACCGCAACUGACGCUGAGGCGCGAAAGCUAGGGGAGCAAACAGG